GUAGCUGCCCACUUGAUUCGAUUUGUUUUGUAUUUGGAAACAACCAUGGCUGGUCAAGGCCCAGCCCGUUGUGCUUCUGAACCUGCCUAGUCCCAUGGACUAGAUCUUUAUCCGCAGACUCCAAAAGAAAAAGGAUUGGCGCAGAGGAAUUGUCAUGGAAACAGAAUGAACAAGAAAGGGUGAAGAAGAUCAAAGGCAUAUAUGAUCUUUACAUUCUCUUUAGCUUAUGUAUGCAGAAAAUUCACCUAAUUAAGGACAGGGAACGUAACUUGGCUUGCACUCCUCUCACCAAACCUUACC